rnacentral:rRNA from 1 species
GAUGAACGCUGGCGGCGUGCUUAACACAUGCAAGUCGAACGAAGCACUUUAUUUGAUUUCCUUCGGGACUGAUUAUUUUGUGACUGAGUGGCGGACGGGUGAGUAACGCGUGGGUAACCUGCCUUGUACAGGGGGAUAACAGUUGGAAACGGCUGCUAAUACCGCAUAAGCGCACAGCAUCGCAUGAUGCAGGGUGAAAAACUCCGGUGGUAUAAGAUGGACCCGCGUUGGAUUAGCUAGUUGGUGAGGUAACGGCCCACCAAGGCGACGAUCCAUAGCCGACCUGAGAGGGUGACCGGCCACAUUGGGACUGAGACACGGCCCAAACUCCUACGGGAGGCAGCAGUGGGGAAUAUUGCACAAUGGGCGAAAGGCUGAUGCAGCGACGCCGCGUGAGCGAAGAAGUAUUUCGGUAUGUAAAGCUCUAUCAGAAGGGAAGAUAAUGACGGUACCUGACUAAGAAGCACCGGCUAAAUACGUG